CCGUCCUUCUUAGUUCUCAAGCCUGCUGGCUUUUGGACUGGAACUCUCACCAUGGGCUUUCCUGCUUCACAGGCCUUAGGACUUGGACCGAACUACAGCAUUAGCUCUGCUGGGUCCAGGUUGCCAACGACACAUCUUGAGACUUCCCAGCCUUCACAGUCAUGUGUGUCCUCUAAAGAAGAACACAUCAGGAAAUCUUAAAUGAGGUUCCUCUUGGCCCCCGGCUGGAGUGAACCUUCUGAAUUCACCCUAGAAUGGCUUCAGCAGGGGAGCAGGAGGGACUGAAGAUUGUGAAGGUGGAGGAAGACGCGAUCUGGGACCAGGAAACCUGCCUUCAAGAGAACAGCUUUUCUACCCAGGAGGCCUCCCGCCAACUUUUUAGGCACUUUUGUUACCAAGAGACCCCGGGGCCCCGCGAGGCGCUGAGCCGGCUGCGGGAGCUCUGCCGCCAGUGGCUGCGGCCUGAGACACGAAGCAAGGAGCAGAUCCUCGAGCUGCUGGUGCUGGAGCAGUUCCUGACCAUCCUGCCCGAGGAGCUGCAGGCCCGGGUGCGGGAGCAGCAGGCGGAGAGCGGGGAGCAGGCGGUGGCUGUGGUCGAAGAUCUGGAACGGGAGCUUAGUGAGCCCGAGAACCAGGUCCUGGCUCACGAGCAUGGCCCUUCUGAGAUGCUCUCAGAGGAUGUGCCGCAUUUGAAGGCCAAGCAGGACUCGGUAGCCAUCCAGCUUCAGUCCAUGGUGACACAGCUCCAGGGUGAAUCUUUGGGUCCCCACAGACUCGGAGAACGAGGUUGUGAACCUGUACCUGAGCGCCAGGAGCUGGCAUCGACGCAGGAAGUCUUGAAGGGAGUGGAACGCUUUGGAAACCGCAGACUCCUAAGAGAUGCCCCCAUAGAUUGUAAGUACAGAGAACCUUGUGCGCCGCAGAGCAGAGCGGAAAAGCAGAGGGGACAGGCGGCCGGAGAGAGACGGCACAGGUGCAGUGAGUGUGGGAAAGGCUUUACUCAGAGCUCAGUCCUCGUCCAGCACCGGAGAACCCACACGGGGGAGAAGCCCUACGAGUGCGAAGAAUGCGGGAAGACCUUCAGCCAGAGGUCGGGCCUGAUCGAGCACCAGCGGAGCCACACUGGAGAGAAACCCUACAAGUGUAAGGAGUGUGGCAAAGCCUUCAGCGCCAGCAACGGCCUCAUCAGACACAGGAGGAUCCACACGGGGGAGAAGCCGUACGAGUGCGAGGCGUGCGGGAAGGCCUUCCGCCUGAGCUCGUACCUCGCGCAGCACCAGAGGAUCCACACCGGGGAGAAGCGCUACCGCUGCCCCGAGUGCGGGAAGGCCUUCAGCCAGAACGCGGGGCUCUUCCAGCACCUGCGCGUGCACACGGGGGAGAAGCCCUACCCAUGCGGCCAGUGCGGCAAGUGCUUCAGCCGGAGAACGCUGCUCGUCAAGCACCAGAGGAGCCACACCGGCGAGCGGCCGUUUGCCUGCGAGCAGUGCGGGAAGGCCUUCGGCCACCACUGCAACCUCGUUCGGCAUUUCAGAACCCACACCGUUGCCAAGCUGGCCUCAUUCCGUGCACCCCCAGACCCUUGAGUGGGGCCAUCUAGGAAAGGAAGAUUUUUGGGCGGCGUAUUUUGUUUUUACCAACUUUAUUCUGCUCUGGAACGAGGAGCUCGUCUGCAUCCUGGGCUGCGUUUCCGCGGUGACUGUGGGUGUGGCGGUUGCCUGGCAGCCUCGUCCUCCCCGUCCCUCGCUUCAUUUCUGAGGAUCCUCCUAAAAAGGGACCAAAACUUACCUGGAAAUAAAUUGGUACGGAGGGGCUGUUCUUGAGUGAUACUGAGCACUGUGCAGCUCUGUGGGACUGGUAUCUGUGCGUACUUUUCAAAGGCCGGCAUUUAUCCUGGGUGUCUCCAGUGCGCACGCGUGGCCCAUAUGGCGUUGCCUAAUGUUCCUGCUGCGGGGACCCUGUGCGGAGGCCGCCGUCGUGCCGCGUCUUUUCGUCUCGCCGCCCCACGCCUCUGCCCUCCCAUCUCACGGGCCCCUCCCUGCCCAGUCAGCUGACCCCGCGGUCCGCAACCUCAGCCCCUCUCUGGCCAGGAUCGUCCCCGAGCACCUGCCCAGGGACCUUCUGCAGCCCAACUUCAGCGCCAAAUGAGGCCGCCAUUGGGG